ensembl:lncRNA
CUGGAAUUGCUCACUUUCCUGUAUAGUGGCACACUUAUAAGUGUGCAAGAUUGUACUGGGUUUAUGUAGAGCCCAGGAGCUGUCCCAUGUCAGAUAGGAGCCAGCUUCAGCUGCUCCAAAAGGGACACUCUGCUGCCAGAGCUGAGCCAUGUGCCUCAAGGAGAACAGAUUAAAAAAGGGAUAAUCUGCUGCACAACAGCAGUAGCUACAUAAGGAGGCAUAGUGAUCAUACUUUCUCAAGGAUGUUCACGUUUAGAGAUGUCAUCUUGAACACUUCAUCGCUUAUUGAAGGUUAUAUUUGAGCAGUGACUUGGAAGAUAUGAUGGACAUCACUCUCACGAAGUUUGCAGGUGAUAAAAAAUUGUGGGGAUAACUCAGUAAGCUCAAGAACAAGAAGACCAUUCAGAGCUAUGUGGACAGUCUGGAG